GGGGGAAUAUUGCACAAUGGGGGAAACCCUGAUGCAGCGACGCCGCGUGAACGAAGAAGGUAUUCGUAUCGUAAAGUUCUGUCCUAUGGGAAGAUAAUGACAGUACCAUAGAAGAAAGCUCCGGCUAAAUACGUGCCAGCAGCCGCGGUAAUACGUAUGGAGCGAGCGUUGUCCGGAAUUAUUGGGCGUAAAGGGUACGCAGGCGGUUUAAUAAGUCGAAUGUUAAAGAUCGGGGCUCAACCCCGCAAAGCAUUGGAAACUGAUAAACUUGAGUAGUGGAGAGGAAAGUGGAAUUCCUAGUGUAGUGGUGAAAUACGUAGAUAUUAGGAGGAAUACCAGUAGCGAAGGCGACUUUCUGGACACAAACUGACGCUGAGGUACGAAAGCGUGGGGAGCAAUCAGG
rnacentral:rRNA from 1 species